GCAGUCGAACGAUGAACCCGAAGCUUGCUUUGGGGGAUUAGUGGCGAACGGGUGAGUAACACGUGAGCAACCUGCCCCUCACUCUGGGAUAAGCGCUGGAAACGGCGUCUAAUACUGGAUACGAGAUGCGACCGCAUGGUCAGUGUCUGGAAAGAUUUUUUGGUGGGGGAUGGGCUCGCGGCCUAUCAGCUUGUUGGUGAGGUAAUGGCUCACCAAGGCGUCGACGGGUAGCCGGCCUGAGAGGGUGACCGGCCACACUGGGACUGAGACACGGCCCAGACUCCUACGGGAGGCAGCAGUGGGGAAUAUUGCACAAUGGGCGGAAGCCUGAUGCAGCAACGCCGCGUGAGGGAUGACGGCCUUCGGGUUGUAAACCUCUUUUAGCAGGGAAGAAGCGUGAGUGACGGUACCUGCAGAAAAAGCACCGGCUAACUACGUGCCAGCAGCCGCGGUAAUACGUAGGGUGCAAGCGUUAUCCGGAAUUAUUGGGCGUAAAGAGCUCGUAGGCGGUUUGUCGCGUCUGCUGUGAAAUCCCGAGGCUCAACCUCGGGCCUGCAGUGGGUACGGGCAGACUAGAGUGCGGUAGGGGAGAUUGGAAUUCCUGGUGUAGCGGUGGAAUGCGCAGAUAUCAGGAGGAACACCGAUGGCGAAGGCAGAUCUCUGGGCCGUAACUGACGCUAAGGAGCGAAAGGGUGGGGAGCAAACAGGCUUAGAUACCCUGGUAGUCCACCCCGUAAACGUUGGGAACUAGUUGUGGGGUCCUUUCCACGGAUUCCGUGACGCACCUAACGCAUUAAGUUCCCCGCCGGGGGAGUACGGCCGCAAGGCUAAAACUCAAAGGAAUUGACGGGGACCCGC
rnacentral:rRNA from 1 species